GGAAGCUGAAAUUGUUCAGGCGACAGAGAAGGAACCGGUGGAGAGAUCCUGAUGUUGACAUGCAGGGAGUGUUCAACAUUGCCUUUGCAGCAGGGUGCUGGAAGAGAGAGAAAGAAACAGACUGUGGUGGAGAGGUUGGCCUGGGGUAAGAAGGAUUCUCCCGCCUUUGAGUCACUAAGGGGAUCACAGACCUCCGGACAUGUAAGCCUUCUUGAAUGCAUUCUGGCCCACGGUUUCCUUCCUGUUAUACUACAAUGUGCUGAACAUUGGAAUGUUUUCUUCAGGGCUUUCUUCUUCCUCUGAUAUUUAAUCAAACAUCGGGUGCUUGUUUAUUAGUUAUGUUUUCAUGUUUUCUCCUUUUUUGAAGAUGCAGUCUUUCUGGCACAAGCAUUUGCAAAUUAAGGGUUAUUAAAUCCAGAAGAGCUGAAAAACCCUGAUUGCCAGCCUUAAUUACCAGCUUUAAUUCUCUCAGUUGUCUGAGUGUUGGUGUCACAAGGCAAAUCCCAAAUGUCUGCUUACAGAAGCUCUAUGGGUACUGUGUUUAAACAACAAAAGCUAAAGUUACUGUCCCUAGUAAGAGACGA
rnacentral:lncRNA from 1 species